GGGGACGUUUUGGAUUUGACAGGACGUUCGGUUGAGAUAGAUAGCGAGUCCGAGCGCUGUUCUCGGUUAUCAACGAGCACAACAAAUUAAAUGCUAACAAUGUAAUUAAAGCAGACUUCUCAAGAGCACAAGCUCUUGCUGCGUAGUCAGCUAACUAGCUACUCAUAGAGCCCAGCUUGCCGGUUUUAUGGGUCCAUUAUGCAAGACGCAGUGCAUUAAUGCAAUGUAGAUGCAUCAAGAUAACAUUGCAAGGUUUAGAGUUUCCUUCAAAUAAAACCUUUGGCUGAUUUAAAGGGUUUUGAUUUUUUCCUGAAUCAGUUGAGCUAAUAAAAAUCUACACUCGUAGACGUUUAUCAAGAUCCGUUUUGGACAGGGGUUCAACUCCCCUCGUCUCCACCA
rnacentral:tmRNA from 1 species